rnacentral:lncRNA from 1 species
GGGAGUGUGAGCUGGGGCGAGUGUGUCCAUCCCUGUUGACCGCACUUUGACACUGACAGGAAGAAGCCGGCCGCUCGCUCCGUAGGAACCUCCUUGCCUGGGGUCCAGUUCUUCCUCUUCACUGCUGGUCAGCCCAAGUGCAGGAACAAGGAACCUGAGAGGCAGCCAGGACUCAUCAGCUGUUUCCCUUGGAAGGGAAACCAUGUUAACUUGGCAACAUCCCAGCCCAUGGACACCAAGACGCGGGCGGCGUGUUCGUCCCAAGAGGGAGAGCAGUCCCGAAGAGCAGUGGCUGUCC